rnacentral:sRNA from 1 species
GUCCGUGUCGAGGUCUGAAAGUAGAAAGUCAGACAGUUUGACCCAGUUUUCUAAGUGAUCAUUCGCUAUUAGAAAAAGUUCGUGUCUGGACGUGGUCUUCAAACCCAGACUAGAUCUAUCUGCUGAAAUAAGCGUACAAACCAAGGGAUUCUGUUAAUGUUUAUUUCUGGACCUUGGAUACGUUUUCUGGAUAGUUUUUAUGUGAAAUAUUGUGAAAUAUAAAAAAAACUAGGUUCUAGAUAUCUAGUAAAGUAGAUCUCUAGAUCUUGAUCUAGAAUUACAAACUGCAAAACGGUCUUAAAACAUUAGACCUAGAACUAGAUCUACAAUCUACAUCUAUAAUCUAGGCCUUGUUUUGACUUGUGGCCGUCUGGGACAUUGCUAUGCAGCGUUUGGUUGAAUUCUGAAAACUUAUUUUCAACAAUUUCCUGGCCUAGGACGUCUCUACAAUUCUAGACUAACCUAUCAUCUAUAGGACUGGUUGUUCUGAGUAGCAGAUACAGAGGCGAUCAAUCAGUUUGAAGGAUGAUGUCAAUGUUAUGACAGGCUCUGUUUGUGAAAGUCUUGUGUGUCACUGGAUGUAAAAGUCUGGUGACACUCUUGUGUCAACUGACAGGAACACUUGCUUACACUGGACGUAAUACAAUUGCUACCAAGCCUGGUUGUUACAGGAGUUUCUCAGUUGUCUAUUGGGAUCUAACUUGGACCGCUGACCAUGGCUAUCAUCAAUUCAUUUCUGUGUUGGUCAAACACAAGGACAGGCACUGCUGUCUGUGGCUAUUACACUCUGAUCAUAUCUGUUGUCUGUUUGGCUUUCUACAUGUUAAGAUACAUUGCACUGGAUGAUCUCAAAGAUUCUAUUGGUGAGUAUGACCACGUGAUUUCUAAAUGUGUCAUCUUUGAUUGGUUAACAUAUGUAGAUAAAAUUAAGUGUGUUUGUUGAAGCGAUUUGCCCGGACAAUCAACGGCAUUUGUUCGUUCUAUGGUACCAUCAUCCACGACUUUGUCGCACAUGAUUUGACCUUGGCAAAAUUACAGAUUAUUUCCGGGUCGUAUUGAUUGUUUG